UAGUAGUUAAUACCAUAAAAUAUUGAGCCAUUAUUCAGCAACAAUCGAAUAAAUUAUCGAUAGUUUCUUGACAGUGACAGAUUUUAAAAUUUCCAGACUUUUUUUAUUAUAUAUGUCAUAGUCGAAAUAUAAAACCCGUUGUUUUAUAAAACGCCUAGUCGUUUUAUAAACAGCAGCCAGAUUGUCAAAUAUUAAUUGUCAACUCAUUAUUUUGCUAUCUGGCUAGCGUAGUUUUAUAAAACACCUAGUCGUUUUAUAAAAGUACGGUGACUGCUUGGCCAGAUUAUUAAACGCUAAAAAGACAUUUAAUCGUUUGAUAUUAUGACAUUUUGACGAGUGAUGCAUUUUGAUGCAAAUUUGAUCCAUAAUUUCAAUUUUGCUUAGUUCGUUUAGUUACAACUCUUCUUGGUUUGUUUAGUACUCUAAAAAUAUGGAUCCUGUUAAAGUAGCAGCGGCGGGAGUAGAUAAAAACUUCUAACGUAGUUUUUAUAAGGAAACAAAGUAGUAGAAACUACUCUUUACUCAGAAGCAUAUAGGAAGAUAAUUUUUUGCAUAAAUAAACUAACAUAAAGCGGCCAAUGUCAACGAUGGAACCAAUAUUAGCUACCUGGAAUCGGAACAUCAUCGGAAGGAUUAACCCUAUAAAAAGUAUUAAAAAAUCAUCUGUAAGCCUGACUUGUCGUUAUCACAUACACAGUAUUACUUUAGUCUGCAGCAAUCAACUUGGUUUUGUCACUAUUCUGAUGGCAGUCAGAUUUCAAGGUUCUAGGAACAUCAAAUGGAUCAGACUUAUGACUUAUUCCAAGAUCUGCACUUGUUAAAAUAUCACUUGUAAAUGAAAGCAGGAACGUAUUCAACUAUUUAGCAACAAAUCUAAUUCUAUUAUAAAUAGAACGAAUAAAAUUAAACUCGUUAAGGACCUUUCGACAUCUAUAUUAAAAUUUGCAUUUUACUUUUAUUGUGAUAUUUGUCUGUUAAUUUAAGAAUAUGUAAGAUAUUUGAAUUGUUUUAUUUAAUUUUUGUGGUAUUAUAUUUAAUAAUUUCUGUUCACCUAAAUACCAAUCUUGCUUUGUAAAGCAAACAUUUUUAAAAU
rnacentral:lncRNA from 1 species